rnacentral:rRNA from 1 species
GCCCAACCGGGGAGGGUCAUUGGAAACUGGGGAACUUGAGUGCAGAAGAGGAGAGUGGAAUUCCACGUGUAGCGGUGAAAUGCGUAGAGAUGUGGAGGAACACCAGUGGCGAAGGCGACUCUCUGGUCUGUAACUGACGCUGAGGCGCGAAAGCGUGGGGAGCGAACAGGAUUAGAUACCCUGGUAGUCCACGCCGUAAACGAUGAGUGCUAGGUGUUAGGGGUUUCGAUGCCCGUAGUGCCGAAGUUAACACAUUAAGCACUCCGCCUGGGGAGUACGGCCGCAAGGCUGAAACUCAAAGGAAUUGACGGGGACCCGCACAAGCAGUGGAGCAUGUGGUUUAAUUCGAAGCAACGCGAAGAACCUUACCAGGUCUUGACAUCCUUUGACCACCCAAGAGAUUGGGCUUCCCCUUCGGGGGCAAAGUGACAGGUGGUGCAUGGUUGUCGUCAGCUCGUGUCGUGAGAUGUUGGGUUAAGUCCCGCAACGAGCGCAACCCUUGAUCUUAGUUGCCAGCAUUGAGUUGGGCACUCUAAGGUGACUGCCGGUGACAAACCGGAGGAAGGUGGGGAUGACGUCAAAUCAUCAUGCCCCUUAUGACCUGGGCUACACACGUGCUACAAUGGAUGGUACAAAG